UGGCGUAAAAUAUGAAAGACCCGUAAAAUAUGCAAGUGCGCAUGUGCAAAGGGAUCACAACAUCCGGCGUAAAAAGUGCAAGUUGCAUAUGUAAAUAUAUUAAUAAAUCUACGAAAAGAGAUGAUAAUUAACAUUCUUAUCAUUAUGUAAUGUCAGCCACGUAAGCCAUGCUGUUGAUUGCAUAGGUGUCACACGGAUUUAACGGUGUAAUAACUGAGAACAGACUUCACAAGGUCUAAGAAGGUCUAAUACAUGCCAACAGCAAAUCAAUUCCGUUGAUGUUCUCUCUACAUAUCAAUGGACAAAUAAAGCUCUCGAUAUUAAGUGAACAAAUAACACUGGAUUACUUAAUUCAAUUUUAUAACUGCACUACCAUGACCAUGAAUAAUUGUGCUAAGGUACAGCUGGCUUGGUUUGGACACAUCACCAGGCACAACUCUUUGCAAGGCUGUUUUCCAGGGUACGCUAGAGGAAGGUCGACGAUGAGGCCAUUUGUAGAAAAGAUGGAUGGAUAAUGUAAAAAAAUGGACAUGCCUAUCCAUGGAUGAAUUACUCAAAGCUGCACACAACAGACCCGACUGGAGGAGCAUUUCUGUAUCGUGGUCCCUCAUUUUCCCAAACAAGCUGAACCAGUUUGAGAAUAACUGGGAUAAAGAAAUAAUUUAAUCUAACAGUCAUAUAUUUGAAUUUUUGAACACGCCAAUCUAUAUUAUGUAUAUGUGCAGAAUCUUUACCUCUCAGACUAUGACAUUACCAAUUUAAAGUACUGGAAAUUUAGUUAAGUUUAAGUAAAAAUUACAUUUGUUUCAUAAA